rnacentral:lncRNA from 1 species
GAAAUUUAGUAUUGAAAUUUACUUUUUAAAAUAUAUAAAUUUUUAAAUAAAAUAAUCUUAGUUGCUUGUUUGAUAGCUUUGCAUGCUGCGAUGGUAAGAUAUCAACUGUAAUGAUCUCUAACUUUUUCCUUCUGUCACAUGAUAAAAAUGUAAUUUAUUUUUUAUUGUUGCAUUUUUAAUUUUAUUACUAAUAUGUUACUGUAAUGUUAUUUCAUUUGUUUUCCAUUAAUUAUUUUCGUGAAAGGUUUGUUGAAAUUCGUGAUAUGAUAUACAGUAGAACCUUCAUCAACUGCACAAAUUGGGAUCAAGAGUGCUACAGUUGUGCAAGGUGUGUGAUCGAUUCUACGUUAAUAGAUUUAAAAUGCAAUCAUUUAUAUAUGUAUUUCUUUCUCUUUCUUUUUUUUUUUUUUUUCAUCUUUUAUAAUAAGUGUAUCUUGCAAUUUUUAUGAUUGUGUGCAGUUUAUGAUACAGUUGAUAAAGGUUUUAUUGUAUUUGUGUUUAGUGGUCGAUAUGGAAAUAUAGAAAUUUCAAGUACAUAGAAAUGAAUCCUUUUUGAAAGUUUAUUUUAAGCAACUAAACUCAUUCAGUCUUCUAAUAAGAAUACCAAUUUAAAUAUAUUUUAAUUAGCAAUACAAAUUUAAAGAAAAUAUAUAUCAAUCAUUUUAAUUUUUUUGAACUUUUAAAAUAAG